UACGGGGGGUGCGAGCGUUGUCCGGAAUCACUGGGCGUAAAGGGCGCGUAGGUGGUUUGAUAAGGGUGUGGUGAAAGCCCGGGGCUCAACCCCGAGUCUGCCGUGCCGACUGUUAAACUCGAGGGCUGUAGAGGCAGACGGAAUUCCGGGUGUAGCGGUGGAAUGCGUAGAGAUCCGGAGGAAGACCGGUGGCGAAGGCGGUCUGCUGGGCAGUUUCUGACACUGAUGCGCGACAGCGUGGGGAGCAAACAGG
rnacentral:rRNA from 1 species